rnacentral:rRNA from 1 species
UACGUAGGGGGCAAGCGUUGUCCGGAUUUAUUGGGCGUAAAGAGCUCGUAGGCGGUUUGUCGCGUCGUCUGUGAAAACCCGGGGCUCAACCCCGGACCUGCAUCCGAUACUCCCGGACUGGAGGCAGGUAGGGGAGAGCGGAAUUCCCGGUGUAGCGGUGAAAUGCGCAGAUAUCGGGAAGAACACCGGUGGCGAAGGCGGCUCUCUGGACCUGUCCUGACGCUCAGGCGCGAAAGCUAGGGGAGCGAACAGG